rnacentral:rRNA from 1 species
AGAGUUUGAUCCUGGCUCAGGAUGAACGCUGGCGGCGUGCCUAAUACAUGCAAGUCGAACGCACUAGUUUACUAGUGAGUGGCGAACGGGUGAGUAACACGUAGGUAACCUGCCCUUAAGACGAGGAUAACCGUUGGAAACGAUGGCUAAGACUGGAUAGGAACAUUGAAGGCAUCUUUGAUGUUUUAAAAGACCUAGCAAUAGGUAUGCUUAAGGAGGGGCCUGCGGCGCAUUAGUUAGUUGGUGAGGUGAAGGCUUACCAAGACGAUGAUGCGUAGCCGGACUGAGAGGUUGAACGGCCACAUUGGGACUGAGAGACGGCCCAAACUCCUACGGGAGGCAGCAGUAGGGAAUUUUCGGCAAUGGGGGAAACCCUGACCGAGCAACGCCGCGUGAAUGACGAAGUACUUCGGUAUGUAAAGUUCUUUUAUUGGGGAAGAAUGGCUGGUGGAAAAACCAGCGUGACGGUACCUAAUGAAUAAGCCCCGGCUAACUAUGUGCCAGCAGCCGCGGUAAUACAUAGGGGGCAAGCGUUAUCCGGAAUUAUUGGGCGUAAAGGGUGCGUAGGUGGUUGAUUAAGUCUUUGGUGUAAGUGCAGUGCUUAACGCUGUGAUGCUAAAGAAACUGGUUAACUUGAGUGUGGUAGAGGCAAGUGGAAUUCCAUGUGUAGCGGUAAAAUGCGUAAAUAUAUGGAGGAACACCAGUGGCGAAGGCGGCUUGCUGGGCCACAACUGACACUGAGGCACGAAAGCGUGGGGAGCAAACAGGAUUAGAUACCCUGGUAGUCCACGCCGUAAACGAUGAGUACUAAGUGUUGGAGAAAUUCAGUGCUGUAGUUAACGGCAAUAAGUACUCCGCCUGAGUAGUACGUGCGCAAGCAUGAAACUCAAAGGAAUUGACUG